GACGAACGCUGGCGGCGUGCUUAACACAUGCAAGUCGAGCGGUAAGGCCCUUUCGGGGGUACACGAGCGGCGAACGGGUGAGUAACACGUGGGUGACCUGCCCUUAGCUCUGGGAUAAGCCUGGGAAACUGGGUCUAAUACCGGAUAUGACUCCAUAACGCAUGUUGUGGGGUGGAAAGCCUUGUGCGGCUAGGGAUGGGCCCGCGGCCUAUCAGCUUGUUGGUGGGGUGAUGGCCACCAAGGCGACGACGGGUAGCCGGCCUGAGAGGGCGACCGGCCACACUGGGGACUGAGGACACGGCCCAGACUCCUACGGGAGGCAGCAGGUGGGGAAUCUUGCGACAAUGGGCGGAAGCCUGACGCAGCGACGCCGCGU
rnacentral:rRNA from 1 species